rnacentral:rRNA from 1 species
GGUGCUUGCACCGGGUGGAUGAGUGGCGAACGGGUGAGUAACACGUGAGUAACCUGCCCCUGACUUCGGGAUAAGCCCGGGAAACUGGGUCUAAUACCGGAUACGACUGCCGGACGCAUGUCUGGUGGUGGAAAGUUUUUUCGGUUGGGGAUGGGCUCGCGGCCUAUCAGUUUGUUGGUGAGGUAAUGGCUCACCAAGACGACGACGGGUAGCCGGCCUGAGAGGGCGACCGGCCACACUGGGACUGAGACACGGCCCAGACUCCUACGGGAGGCAGCAGUGGGGAAUAUUGCACAAUGGGGGAAACCCUGAUGCAGCGACGCAGCGUGCGGGAUGACGGCCUUCGGGUUGUAAACCGCUUUCAGCAGGGAAGAAGCGCAAGUGACGGUACCUGCAGAAGAAGUACCGGCUAACUACGUGCCAGCAGCCGCGGUAAUACGUAGGGUACGAGCGUUGUCCGGAAUUAUUGGGGCGUAAAGAGCUCGUAGGUGGUUGGUCACGUCUGCUGUGGAAACGCAACGCUUAACGUUGCGCGUGCAGUGGGUACGGGCUGACUAGAGUGCAGUAGGGGAGUCUGGAAUUCCUGGUGUAGCGGUGAAAUGCGCAGAUAUCAGGAGGAACACCGGUGGCGAAGGCGGGACUCUGGGCUGUAACUGACACUGAGGAGCGAAAGCAUGGGGAGCGAACAGGAUUAGAUACCCUGGUAGUCCAUGCCGUAAACGUUGGGCACUAGGUGUGGGGGGCAUUCCACGUUCUCCGCGCCGUAGCUAACGCAUUAAGUGCCCCGCCUGGGGAGUACGGUCGCAAGGCUAAAACUCAAAGGAAUUGACGGGGGCCCGCACAAGCGGCGGAGCAUGCGGAUUAAUUCGAUGCAACGCGAAGAACCUUACCAAGGCUUGACAUACACCGGACCGUCCUGGAAACAGGUCUUCUUCUUUGAAGCUGGUGUACAGGUGGUGCAUGGUUGUCGUCAGCUCGUGUCGUGAGAUGUUGGGUUAAGUCCCGCAACGAGCGCAACCCUCGUUCUAUGUUGCCAGCACGUGAUGGUGGGAACUCAUAGGAGACUGCCGGGGUCAACUCGGAGGAAGGUGGGGAUGACGUCAAAUCAUCAUGCCCUUUAUGUCUUGGGCUUCACGCAUGCUACAAUGGCUGGUACAGAGAGAGGCGAACCCGUGAGGGCAAGCGAAUCCCUUAAAGCCAGUCUCAGUUCGGAUCGUAGUCUGCAAUUCGACUACGUGAAGUCGGAGUCGCUAGUAAUCGCAGAUCAGCAACGCUGCGGUGAAUACGUUCCCGGGCCUUGUACACACCGCCCGUCAAGUCACGAAAGUCGGUAACACCCGAAGCCGGUGGCCUAACCC